rnacentral:lncRNA from 1 species
ACACUCGGCUGGGAAGUGAGAGACUCAAAACAACGUGAGAAGUAGAAAGCGGCAACCGUCAGCCAACUCAUAGCUGAAGCAGGGACACUGUGCAGCUCUUGGAGCUUGUUCUUAGUAUGUGUUCAGAGGGCUAAUACUCUGUCAAGCAGGGCGGAUGAUAGCCAGAGCAAACAGCCACGGUCCCCACGGUGGAAAAUAACGUUGCCAGAAAAUUCCGCACAUCUGGAAAGAACAGCAAUGAACAGGAACUUGUGCAUUCGUGCUAGGCUCCUACUGGGCCCGCUUCGUUUCAUUUCCUCCAUUUUUAUGACACUUUCCCAUGCUGCUACUCCAGACAUUCCAUCAAACACCUCGCCACGAACAAAUUGAAAGGGAAGGAAAUCUAAAGAAAGUCUGACUGAAUUUCUGAGUGUCUCAUCACUAGAAUGACCAGGAAAACCUGCCAGGAGUGUAGAUUCAGGCCCCUAAUCCCACUUCUCUGCAGUCUCCUCUUGGUCUCUGUGUAUAAGCUCUCCUGCCUUUUUGCACCUCUAAUCCAUUGUCAGACAAACUGGCCUACUUGUGUUUGCCUCUGAGAGCCUGUCCACUUCCUCACGUUAGGAGAAAGAACACAAAGAAUCCUAGCUUUGAUUCAGUUUUCCAUACUUCAGCCAUCAGUCUACCAUCAAGCACAUUUUUUACUGGGCAAAUGAAAAGUCAUUGCUUUCAAUUUUUUUUUUUUUUUUUUAGACUGAAUCUCACCUGUCACCCAGGCUGGAGUGCAGUGGCACAAUCUCGGCUCACUGCAACCUCUGCCUCCCAGGUUCUAGCAAUUCUCCUGCCUCAGCCUCCCAAGUGGCUGGGAUUGCAGGUGCCCACCACCAUGUCCAGCUAAUUUUUUUGUAUUUUGAGUAGAGACGGGGUUUCACCAUGUUGACUAGGCUGGUUUUAAACUCCUGACCUCAAAUGAUCCACCCACCUCAGCCUCCCAAAGUACUAGGAUAAUAGGUGUGAGCCACAGCACCCCGCCAAUAUUUUUGUUUCUAAUAAAACAAGAACUAGUAGUGCACUCCGUCUAGAGCAAGAUAGUGUGGUGGGGACAGGGAGCAAGUAGGUAGGGGAUAAAUAGGUCAAGAACUGAAUUCACAAUUGAGGCUUUAAGCUUGAUAAGAAAUAAAGCAAGUUUGAAUCAUCUGGGUCCCUGGGGAAGCAUUUGUUUAGAAAAAGAUCAAUAGUAAAUAAAAAUACCACGCACCUAGUUUCCAGGUAUUGAUUUAUCUAAAAGGGACCUGGCUUUCACAUAUUUACGAUAUGCAAGUGCAUUUCAAAGCUUUGCCUGACAGCUGGAUGCAAGCUGGGUGAGGCUGUAGGGGUGACAGUGUCAUCACAUGUGAGAGAGGCUGUGGGGGUGCAGGUGUCAUCACAUGUGAGAGAGGCUGUGGGGGUGACAGUGUCAUCACAUGUGAGAGAGGCUGUGGGGGUGACAGUGUCAUCAUAUGUGAGAGGCUGUGGGGGUGACAGUGUCAUCACAUGUGAGAGAGGCUGUGGGGGUGACAGUGUCAUCACAUGUGAGAGAGGCUGUGGGGGUGACAGUGUCAUCACAUGUGAGAGAGGCUGUGGGGGUGACAGUGUCAUCACAUGUGAGAGAGGCUGUGGGGGUGACAGUGUCAUCACAUGUGUGAGAGGCUGUGGGGGUUCAGGUGUCAUCACAUGUGAGAGAGGCUGUGGGGGUGACAGUGUCAUCACAUGUGAGAGAGGCUGUGGGGGUGACAGUGUCAUCACAUGUGAGAGAGGCUGUGGGGGUUCAGGUGCCACCACAUGGGAGACAGGCUGUGGGGGUGACAGUGUCAUCACAUGUGAGAGAGGCUGUGGGGGUGACAGUGUCAUCACAUGUGAGAGAGGCUGUGGGGGUGACAGUGUCAUCACAUGUGUGAGAGGCUGUGGGGGUUCAGGUGUCAUCACAUGUGAGAGAGGCUGUGGGGGUGACAGUGUCAUCACAUGUGAGAGAGGCUGUGGGGGUUCAGGUGCCACCACAUGGGAGACAGGCUGUGGGGGUGCUGGGUACCACCACAUGUGAGAAUACAGAAAACACAAAGCCGUCAGCUACGGAGAAUUAAAAUCAAAUUCGC